GGCCCUGUAACAUGAAGAUCUCGCUUGUUGACUGGUGAAAAAUGUACGAAAAAUAGAAAAAUGUUUGUCUCAUAUGAACACAACAUGUGCACGACUUUUCCGCUUAGCGGGUCCAUUUGAACCAAUUUGCUACUGCUAUAGAACAUAGCUACAGAGUUUAAAAAGAAAUGGAAUCAUGGACAUGCUAAACGUUGUCUACACUGCACAGCUACUUUCAUAUAGGCAAUCGGCACUUUUCACAGGUUAUUA
rnacentral:lncRNA from 1 species